GGAAGGUGUCGGUGAGAAGAGUAACUCUGCAUCGUUGUUAAAAAUGAUUUUCCGCCGCAGCGUUAUUCUCCAGCUCACACUAAUAUACAAUUUGCCUUUAGACAUUAGGCUGCGCCCCCUAGUGCUGAGGAGCUGUGACUGUUGUACAUCAUUUUGUGGAUGAUAAACUGGAGGCCGUUAGCUCACGCGUCCUGAGGACAGUUUAGAGACGGUCCCAUAUUUGAGCGAGGUGCCAUAUCCAUUUUUGAUGACUGACAUUAGGGAGCGUCUUAAAAUAGGCAGCCAGAGGGGCAGGAAGAGCACUCAGCCGGAGCCGUCGAGCUAGACACACACACACACACACACACGCUCAGUGUCUGCAGCCAGGAUGUCCAUCGUCAAGAUCCACGCUCGUGAGAUCCUCGACUCCAGAGGAAACCCUACAGUGGAGGUCGACCUUUACACGGAGAAAGGUCU
ensembl:lncRNA